rnacentral:misc_RNA from 1 species
GAUGAAGAACGCAGCGAAAUGCGAUAAGUAAUGUGAAUUGCAGAAUUCAGUGAAUCAUCGAAUCUUUGAACGCACAUUGCGCCCCCUGGUAUUCCGGGGGGCAUGCCUGUCCGAGCGUCAUUACUGCCCUCAAGCGCGGCUUGUGUGUUGGGCCUUCGCCCCCCCCGGGGGCGUGCCCGAAAGGCAGUGGCGGCGCCGUGCCCGGUCCUCGAGCGUAUGGGGCUUUGUCACCCGCUCUGGAGGCCCGGCCGGCCGCCGCCGACCCGCCCAGACCUUUAACCGGUUGACCUCGGAUCAGGCAGGGAUACCCGCUGAACUUAAGCAUAUCAAAAGCGGAGGA